UGUCUUGAGUGGUAGUAAUAUCUUGCUGGUGGCUCUUUCCCUCUUGUUCGCAGAUCCGGGCUGUGUCUCAUCUACCAGAGACAGUAAAGAGUGGCUAAGGGCUAACUUUGGUAACUUCUCUGACUUUGCAAAGCUGCAGGACCUGCAAGCACUCAAUCCCAAAUUCUCCAGUGUGGAACUGCUGUCAGAACUCACGCCUUCACAGGUGGCACAGUUAAUACUGAGCUCAGGUGCCUUGAAUGACACAGACCUAAUCGAUGGUGUCUUUGAUCGCCUUGAGGACGGCAAUGCUCUGGAAAACGUGGAUGAAUUCCUG
rnacentral:lncRNA from 1 species